GAGGCUGCUGGAGUUUGACUGACACAUCAACAUGGAUCUCAAUGAGCUCUUGUAGUGGAUAUUGGCGAUAGUUGGUCCACUGUAGGAGUAGGAUGUACAUCAAGAUGGGAUCUAUCAAUCCUAACAGAAGAAAGUAGUCCUAUGAGAUUUAAGAGACUGAGUUCUUAAGUCUAUGACUAUAGUAGUAUGAUUGAUAGAAAAGAGUUUUCAUAAAAUCACAUAUAGACUCG
rnacentral:lncRNA from 1 species